GGGUCAGUAGGUUGGUCGUGCCACCGGUACGUACUGGUCUCACUGAUUCCUCCUUCCUGAAGAACCAUAGUGCCAUUAAUUUGGUGUUGCGGGGAAACAGGACUGUUACUUUGAAAAAAUUAGAGUGUUUAAAGCAAGCUAACGCUUGAAUACAUUAGCAUGGAAUAAUGAAAUAGGACGAUCGAUCCUAUUUUGUUGGUUUCUAGGAUUGACGUA
rnacentral:rRNA from 1 species